AGCCAUAUGCUUUUCUCGAAGAUUAAGCCAUGCAAGUGCAAGUUCAAGCAGCUUGAACUGUUAAACUGCGGACGGCUCAUUAAAUCAGAACUGAUUUAUUUGAUAUAAGUACAUUGUACUUAGGAUACCCAUGAUAAAGUUAUGGCUAAUACUUUUUAAACACUUAGACUUUGUCUGGUGGACAUAUAUAUUGUAAAUCAACUUUUGUGAACAAUAAUAUGUUUAAGAUCGCUUAAAAGCGACAUGUCAUUCAAGGUUCUGCCCUAWCAUGUUUGACGGUAGGGUAUUGGCCUACCGUGACAGUAACGGGUACGGGGAAUCAGGGUUCGAUUCCGGAGAGGGAGCCUGAGAAACGGCUGCCACAUCCACGGAAGGCAGCAGGUGCGAAAAUUACCCAAUUCUAACACAGAGAGGUAGUAAAGAGACAUAACGCUUUAUCUGGCUCAGGUCAGAUCUGCGGAAUGAGAAAAACUUAAACUACUUAUCGACUAACAAGUGGAGGGCAAGUCUGGUGCCAGCAGCCGCGGUAAUACCAGCUCCACGAGUGUAUGCUAAGUUUGCUGCCGUUAAAAAGCUCGUAGUUGGACAUUUACACUUCUUUCAUUGUUCYUUUUGGACAACUCAAUGAGUGAAAGUUGUGUAUAUUUCGAGACAUUCAGUCGUCCAUUAGUUUGGUCGGCCGUUUUGACUCGAUCGAAUACUUUGAGCAAAUUGGAGUGCUCAGUGCAGGUUUGCGCCUGAACGCGAUACAUGGGAUAAUAAACUAAUACGUUGGCUGGUGUUAAUAAUACCAAGUUUGUUGGUUUAGAGCCAAGGUAAUGAUUAAUAGGAACGGUCGGGGGUGGCAGUAUCAUCGGGCCAGAGGUAAAAUUCGUUCAACCUGAUGGGACUAUCAUUUGCGAAAGCAGCCACCAAGAACGUUUUCUUUAAUCAAGAACUAAAGCUUGUGUAGUCAAGACGAUCAGAUACCGUCGUAGCACAAGCCAUAAACUAUGUCGACUAAGUAUUGGGCAGAAGUCGAGACUGCUCAGGGCUUUGCGAGAAAUCAAAGUCUUGGGACUCGGGGGGAAGUAUACCCGCAAGUGUGAAACUUAAAGGAAUUGACGGAAGGGCACCACCAGGUGUGGGGUGCGCGACUCAAUUUGACUUAACACGGGGCACCUCACCAUGUCCAAACUCAGAGAUGAUUGACAGAUUAAAGUUCUUUCUUGAUUCUGAGAACGGUGGCGCAUGGCCGUUGUUAGUUGGUGGAGUGAUUUGUCUGGUCAAUUCCGAUAACGAACGAGAUCCCAACCCUAUUUUAGUAGUCGCUAAUAAAUUAGCUUCACUAUUUCUUUAGGGGACUGUCCACGGUAAAACAGUGGAAGGAAGUUUGGGGCUAUAACAGGUCCGUAUGCCCCUAGAUGACAUGGGCCGUUUGCACACCACAUUGAUUUUCAAAGAAAGCUCGUACGCGAAAGCGUUGUGCAAGCAAUAAAGUUAAUCAAAGUAGGGAUCAGAGGUUGCAAUUUUCCUUUGUGAACAAGGAAUAUCUUAUAAACGCAAGUCAGAAACUUGUGUUGAAUACGUCCCUGCCCUUUGUACACACCGCCCGUCGCUUCUACCGAUUGAACGAUUGUGUGAAACUAGUGGAGAGGUCUUCGAUCUUAAAGCUAGGUAAGCAUUGUUGUUUAGAGGAAGGAAAAGUCGUAACAAGGUUUCA
rnacentral:rRNA from 1 species